rnacentral:rRNA from 1 species
UACGUAGGUGACAAGCGUUGCUCGGAAUCACUGGGCGUAAAGGGUGCGUAGGCGGGUUUUUAAGUCAGAGGUGAAAUCCUGGAGCUCAACUCCAGAACUGCCUUUGAUACUGGAAGUCUCGAGUAUGGGAGAGGUAAGCGGAAUUCCUGGUGUAGCGGUGAAAUGCGUAGAUAUCAGGAGGAACACCUGUGGUGUAGACAGCUUACUGGACCAUAACUGACGCUGAGGCACGAAAGCGUGGGUAGCAAACAGG